UAAGGAAUAUUGGUCAAUGGACGCAAGUCUGAACCAGCCAUGCCGCGUGAAGGAUGAAGGUCCUCUGGAUUGUAAACUUCUUUUAUCUGGGACGAAAACGGGAUUUUUAUCUCAAUUGACGGUACCAGAGGAAUAAGCACCGGCUAACUCCGUGCCAGCAGCCGCGGUAAUACGGAGGGUGCGAGCGUUAUCCGGAUUUACUGGGUUUAAAGGGUGCGUAGGUGGGCUUAUAAGUCAGUGGUGAAAGCCUGCAGCUUAACUGCAGAAUUGCCAUUGAUACUGUUAGUCUUGAGUACAGUUGAGGUCGGCGAAAUUGGCCAUGUCGCGGUGAAAUGCUUAGAUAUGACACAGAACACCGAUUGCGAAGGCAGCUUGCUAAGCUGUAACUGACGCUGAGGCACGAAAGCGUGGGGAGCAAACA
rnacentral:rRNA from 1 species